rnacentral:lncRNA from 1 species
AAGAAAAAUACAAUUUUAUUAUAAUACUUUUAAAAAUAGCAUUUCUGCCACCUUUGUUAACAAGAAACAUACAAAUUUGAAUAAUUACUGUACUUCCUAAAAAAUAGCAUUAACACAGCUUGCUUUAUCAAAGAGGUAGUUUCUAACAAUGUAACAACAUUAGUUUACUUUAUACUACAUCCAAUUAUGAGAUUUCAGCAUGUGUUACCAAUUUCUCCUUUUCACAAAAAACAAAAUAAAAUAAAUUUUAAAAUGUAAAACUCAAUAAUUUAUUUAGCUCAAUAUAUAUGUGUGUAUGUGUAUGUAUAUGUGUGUGUAUAUAUAUAUAUAAAAAAUUAUAUAUAUAAUAUAUAAUAAUAAUAUAUAUAUAAUAUUAUACGUAUAAUUUAUGUAUUUCUAAUAUAAAUUUUGUAUAACUAAAUUAUAAUAUUUCAAUUAUUGCUAGCAUCAAUAUGGAUAUAUCUUAGGCUUAAUAUUACAAUGUAAUGCUUUAGUCACUUUCGUUUAUAUUAUUUGUAUUAUCUUAGUACAGGUAGUCAUUAGUUGGAGGUACAGUACACACCUAUUUGGGACAGUGGUUUAGACUGUUGUGCUUUCCAGGCAGCUAACGACUAUGGCCUAUUUAAUGUACUUGUUAAUGUUAUGUUUUUUUUUAUUGUAUUAUAUUUUGUAUAUUUUAUCUUUUGCCUGAAUAAAUAAUCUGAUAAUCUAUCCUUAACAUUUAGAGUUCAAAGGACUCUAUUGGAAAUAAGUCAUUCAUAGACUUUAUGGGUUAUACUUGGCUUUGAUGCUUGUAGUCUUUCUUAUGUGUGUUUUGUCGAUUUUUUAUGGACUCAGGAUUUUACUGUGAAAUUUUAAAAUGUAUGUUGUAAUUUUGUAUGUAUAAAGCCGAAUAAAGUAAAAUCAAAUCAAAUCCUUUGUACUAUAUGCUAAAUAUUUAGUUUCAGCACAGAACAUAAAUAGCAAAAGAAUGAGGUCUUCACGUAGUUUGCAUUAACUUUGAUUCAACGUCCGUCGUUUCUAGAAUGGUGGAAAAUUAUUUCAUGGAGUGGAGAAACUAAUGAAAACAAACGAACCAGAGAGUUAUCCAACCAAUCCAAACGGCUCUGAACCAAUCAAAGAUAUAGCACCGCCGCUCGGAUGGAGGAAAAUUGUUCUUCAUGGACGCUCUCAUGGAGCGUUCCAUUGUAUCGCGAAGUGCUCUAUCUUUUGCUAUUUAUUAUCUUUGGUUUCGGUUACUUUGUCCACACUCAAAUAUCUUUGAGAAGGAAAAAAAAAAACUGUUGUAUGCCCAUUUAUAGUUAUGAAAUGCCUGUUGAAUAGCUCAGUGGUUGAGAUGCUUGCCUUCUGAUCCCAGGGUCUGGGUUCAAUUUCUGUCACAGUAGGACAUUUUCUCACGACUAAAAUCAAUUCCUAUACAUAAGCCUCAUUAAGAGACUUAGUUUAUAAAGCAUCAUUCCAUCCUGUAAGUGGCGAGUGUACUUGCUGUUGGAUGUGAUGGAAAUAAAAAAAUUAUAUGUGGGCAUGUUGUGACAUCAUCAUGACUAUAUUUUGGCAUGUCAAAGGUCAAAUACAAUUUGAUGGUGUGAAAAGGACUUAAGUUUUGUAUUGACACAGAUUGUUUCUAAGAAACAUUCACAAGAAACGUAGAUCGGUUGUGAUAUAUUUGACUGUACAAUAAUGUUUAAUACCAAAUUGUUGAAGUACUGUAAUUUAUACAAAUGAAACAAUCAGUCUUGUAGUCUGGUUUCAUUUCUUGCUUGCACUUAACCUUCUAACGAUGACAUUAGCACAACUUAUUUUACCAGUCCCUUUAAUCUAUCACAGAAUAUAUUUAAACAUGAAACAAAUAUGUAUGGUAUUUAUCCAAUAUGAAACCCCUACAUUGUCAUAUUUUUCGAGGGUUUCGCCCCCUGGAUCACAUUCAGCAUAUAUUUAGCGACAUCUAAAAAUAUGAUGUUCCCCCCCCGCCUAAAAUUUUACCUUUCCCUCACUUUCCUCCUCCCCCAAAAUUUUGAAUCGCCCCAGAUUUUGAACUCUGACGCCGCCACUGAAUAUCUUGUUUGCUGUUUUUAAACAAAAUACUGUAUAUUUUCAUUAAAUUUCAUUACAGAGGAAAA